GGUUCUCUAGGGAGCAUGUGCACGCCUUGUCAUCUUUAUAUCUCCACCUGUGUGCACCUUUUGUAGACCUUCCAGGUCUAUGUUGCUUCUUCAUUUACCCCAAUGUAUGUUAAUAGAAUGUUGUGACUAUAAAAUCUAUACAACUUUCAGCAACGGAUCUCUUGGCUCUCGCAUCGAUGAAGAACGCAGCGAAAUGCGAUAAGUAAUGUGAAUUGCAGAAUUCAGUGAAUCAUCGAAUCUUUGAACGCACCUUGCGCUCCUUGGUAUUCCGAGGAGCAUGCCUGUUUGAGUGCCAUUAAUAUAUAUCAACCCUUCUCAUUGCUGAGUGGUUUGGAUGUGGGGGUUUUGCUGGCCUCUUAAAUGGGUUCAGCUCCCCUGAAAUGCAUUAGCAGAACAAACCUGUUCAUUGGCGUGAUAACUAUCUACGCUAUUGAAUGUGAGGGACAGUUCAGCUUUCUAACAGUCCUUGGACAAUUUAUCAUUUAUG
rnacentral:rRNA from 1 species